AGCUAGCUGACGAGUGGCGGACGGGUGAGUAACGCGUAGGAAUCUGCCUCGUAGUGGGGGACAACGUGGGGAAACCCACGCUAAUACCGCAUACGCUCCCUGCUUGAAAGAGUGGGGAGGAAAGGAGGGGAUCUUCGGACCUUUCGCUAUGAGAUGAGCCUGCGUUAGAUUAGCUAGUUGGUAGGGUAAAGGCCUACCAAGGCGACGAUCUAUAGCUGGUCUGAGAGGACGAUCAGCCACACUGGGACUGAGACACGGCCCAGACUCCUACGGGAGGCAGCAGUGGGGAAUAUUGGACAAUGGGCGCAAGCCUGAUCCAGCAAUACCGCGUGUGUGAAGAAGGCCUUAGGGUUGUAAAGCACUUUCAAUGGGGAGGAAAACCUGCCGGUCAAUACCCGGUAGCUUGACAUUACCUGUAGAAGAAGCACCGGCUAACUCCGUGCCAGCAGCCGCGGUAAUACGGAGGGUGCGAGCGUUAAUCGGAAUUACUGGGCGUAAAGCGUGCGUAGGCGGUUCGUUAAGUCAGAUGUGAAAGCCCCGGGCUCAACCUGGGAACUGCAUUUGAAACUGGCGGACUAGAGUUUAGUAGAGGGGAGUGGAAUUUCAGGUGUAGCGGUGAAAUGCGUAGAUAUCUGAAGGAACACCAGUGGCGAAGGCGACUCCCUGGACUAGAACUGACGCUGAGGUACGAAAGCGUGGGUAGCAAACAGGAUUAGAUACCCUGUAGUCCACGCCGUAAACGAUGUCAACUAGCCGUUGGUCCUAUUUACAGGAUUAGUGGCGCGGCUAACGCAUUAAGUUGACCGCCUGGGGAGUACGGCCGCAAGGUUAAAACUCAAAUGAAUUGACGGGGGCCCGCACAAGCGGUGGAGCAUGUGGUUUAAUUCGAUGCAACGCGAAGAACCUUACCUACCCUUGACAUCCAUAGAAUC
rnacentral:rRNA from 1 species